AAAGCCCCCCACCCUCAUCCCUCGAUUCCUCUCCUUCUCCCUCGUCUGCAGCCGCCGCCGCCACCAGUGUCCUCCCCCCCACCCCUUCUCUCAUUCCCUCACCUGCGCCCUCGUCCACCUGGGCCUCGUGGUCGGCCAUGGAGGUCUGAUCCGACCCAUGGAUGGACGGGGGCGAAACCCUAGCCCCACACCGACCCAUGGAUGGAUGGGGAUGGGGCGACGGUGGCGGCGGCCUUCUCUUGGUGCUUACUGAUGUGGCGGUCCUCGAUGCCGGCGACGGGUUGCAGCACGUAGACGCCAAAAGCUGCGGGUGUGGCGGAGGAGCACCAUGGCGGGCGUGCAGGCCAUCUUUCCCUACCAAAUGAUCCCAAUCCCUUUCUUUCUGCUGGACAGCUCUGAAGAAUUGAUAUUUGUCAAGAACCUGCAACAGAACCAAAAGAAUGGUAUACGUAUAUAACUACUUUGGUGAUUCCUUUUAAGAUGGCAAUGAGACAUGAGAGAAAGAUAACUUGUCAUUUGAGAUGCCCCUAAUUCAAUUUUAUAUCGUGCUGAACUUUCUCAAACUAUUAUGUAUAUCAUCUUAGUAAUUGAGCUAAACAAACUGCCAUGGUAUUAUCUGCUGGUUGCAAAAUGAGAAAAGCAACACAUGCAUGAAGAAUAGUAGUGAAUAUUACACAUCUUACCUCUCAUAUUUGUUGAUCUGACCCUUGGCACCACCCAACGAAGGAUGAAGGAAGAGGCCAGCUGCAGCAAAACCAUGCUCCACAUUCCCUUGCAAAGGAAAAAAUUCAGAAUUGAAGGUGUCCAUGCCGGACUGUAUGCAGUGUGCGCCUGCGACACAGAGUUAGUUUUGCUGAGAACUGAACAUGGGUCAAAUUACAAUUAGUAUUAGGUUAAUCAAGUUGUUUCAAUUGGUAUUAGCAGUCAUGACUCGCUUUUGUCCACUUGGCUGAACACUCCUUGCUUGAAUUACACACGUUUCCGAGCUUUUGAGGUUCAAUUGCCAUGUGGCCAUGAAUAUGACCCAGAAAUUGGAUAUGUGACCGAGAAAUAGAACCACUGUACUUUCUCCAGGCAUUCUCUCGUCAACCAGGAAAUCGCUUUUCUGUACAAGUAAAAUACUUUUCAAACUGCGCCAAAAUUUAACCAUUAUCUUUUUCUUGGCCAUCUGUGAUGCAUGCUUGAUCCGGUUAAAAAGAAGAUGACAACAAGUGCUUGAUGUAGUCUCAUCAGUAUAACAUCUGCCACAAUUAAUGUCUUGAUAUUUCCAACACUGACAAAGACUAAGUACUAUAGACACAUAGUGAUCUACUCCAACGACUUGGCAAUCCUUUCUAUUUCAAGUUCUGGCUCAUGUAUCUGUGUAAUUGGCUGCAGGUUAUCACUGCUACCCCACCGAAGUCCCUGGCAAGUACGUGUUGCUACCAAGGAAAAUAUGCUUUCUCAUCAAUUUUGCAGCAUGCAUUAGAAAGUUCAAAUUUAUAUCCUCGAAUAAAUUUCUUCAUGAAGGUGCAUCAGGAUGACCAUCCACCAUUGUUUCUUCGAAAGCAUGCGGCAGAGGCACCCACACCCGCGGUUCAGCAAGAUCUACAUCUCCAACAACUACACCAAGGACUGGGGCAUAUACGCCAUAUGCGCCUGCGUUGAAGCUCAUGUAACUCAUAUAGGUGUACUGUUUCAUAUGCUGGCAACCCACACGCUUUGAAACAAUCAAUUUCUAAUGAAUCAGUACCUGCAUUUGCAAAUUGUGUCCCAGUGUAACAUAUAUGAAGGAGGACAGAAGACGACUGUUUUCAAUUACAUGCCGGAGAAGGCUGCUGACAGAGAAGAGACGACAGCAGGAGCAGAGCCUCUCUCCUGCAAGGCCUUAGGCAUCUUCUUACAAUGCCCAUACAUAUUGCAUAUUCAUAUUAUUAUUUUCUGACAAACUUGCCUUUUCUGACAAACUUGCCUACUAAAAUGUUUGUAUAGUUGGCAGUCCGGUGAUUCCAGCUUAUUUGUCUAAUUUGAUGUAGGAAAUGGAUUUUUUUGAGUUUGAGUUCUCAGUAAUACUUGUUGCCUCCUGUUGUGAUUCUAGGUUGAACUUGCCAAGAUGCUACUAAAUAAGGGCAGGGGCACUUGUUUGAAUACUGGUCAGAACCCGGUGUUGAUGACGACAAGAAGAAAAGCUUCUUUGACAAGGUUUGCCGACUUAAUUCAAGCUAUCCUGCUGGACUGACAUCAUACAUCCAGAAUGCCAAAAGGCUUUUUGCAGAUUCCAAGUCUGGACAAAAUCCAUACGAUGGUUUCACGCCUUCGGUUCCCUCGGGGGAAGUAUUGUCCUUCGGUGAUGACAAUUUUGUUUAAGCACACAAUGUUGCAUUUGUUCUUGUAGCUGGUGGGCUUGGCGAAAGACUUGGUUACAAAGGAAUUAAGGUUAUCAUUGGGAAGUCUAAAAGUUGCACAGGAAGAUCUCGGCAAAUACUUUAAGCCCCAAAGUAACAAAGGUGAGGACCUAAACUGGUGGUACUGGCCUACCUUUCCUUCAGGGAAUGCCCAGCGGACCUGAAAGAUGGUAUCGGCAGUUUGAUAAUUGCAGCCCCAAUGGUGCUCUGAGCUCUUUGAACUCAGUCAAUGUGGGACCCUUUUGACAGGAAGUAUGGGAAAUAUUUCGUUGUUGCUGCAGUUGACCUAUGCUAAAAUGCCGGUGUUAAUAACCAUGUAAGUGUGUAUUUCAUUUCUUUUUCUGCAAAGUCAUUCGUUGUCACUACUGCAUGUAUUUUAUGCUCACUACUGAAAUCGAUGAUGUCCUUCUGAAGCUAAUUGAGAAGUUGUCGGUCAAUAUGUCGCCUAAGCAAUUUAAGUUGGAAGUUCUUAAGGAUAUAGAAAAGGAGGAUCAGGGAAACUAUGUUAAAGGGUCAAGUUAGGAUAUUUACUAAUUAGCUUGAAAACUCUCAAGGGUCAAGGGAACAAUUAACAUAGUUUCGUGCUAACUCGAUCGAUAGAUCCUCGGUUCGAACCCCCGAAAGCACACCAUUUUUUCGCUCGCUUCAGAUUGAACGGGAAAAAAAGAAAGACGGGCCGGCCCAGCACCGCGCGGGGAUGUGCGCCUGUUUGUUAGAAUUGAAGAAACGGGCGCAGCGGGCGCCGGCUUUUAGAUGCGGCUUUUUGGGUUUUUGAUUUUUAUCUGGUUUUUCCUAGGUCUACAAGAAACUAUUUAUUUUUUGAAGCACAAUGCCUUUGAAAAAACAAAUAUGUACUUUCAUAAGAAUCACAAUUGUAUUUCUCGUGAUAGCAUAGAUUUGCUUCCGCGAGAAGCACAACCCAUGCCUCCGCCAGAAGCACAACCUGUGCGUGGAAGAAAAGCACAAGUGUGCCUCCACUAGAAGCAAAUAUGUGCUUGUACGAUAAACACAGAUAUGUUCGAUGAGAAAAAAAACACAACCAUGAGCUUCUACGAGAAGCACAGUCUUACCACCUCGAAAAAUGAAUAAGACAUGCGUAAAAAACGGUGAAACCACAACCGUGCUUUUGUUUUUUUUCUUCUGCCUUUUCUUUCAGUAUUCAAUGUUUUCCGGUUGUCGAUUUUUUUGGGAUUUUUUGUUUUCUUUUUUUUAACUAAUCUGUAGUAGAACAAAAUUGAAUUUCAUCAUCCUAGACAAAACCAAAAUUAACAAGAUAUUGUUGUUUAAAAUUUAUUAAAAGAUCUGUUGUUAGGAACCAUCCUUCGGAAUCAGAAUAUUUAGACUAAUAACACCAAGAUGUAGAGAGCAACUUAGCAAAAUUAUUGUUAGCAAAGAAUAAUUUUGUACAAUGGAAACUCGUGAGGGUCUGGAUCCUCUUUUAUCGGGCGACCAUUAGAAAAGGUAGAUCCUCUUUUAGUUGACAACUAUUAACAAAAGUAUUGUUAGGCCACGAACAUGAGCAAAUUGUUUAAACAAUUAAGCUGAUUUAAUAAUUGUAUAACUCAGUCCGAACGCAUGCCCCACCUGCAAAAGAAAGAUACAGUUGUUGCAGCUAACUGUUGCAACUGCGUCUAUAGAAAUCAGAGGAAGCUUAUUUAAUCAGCCAAUUGACAGGUUCAAAUUAUUGUUAGUGCUAGCCUGCUAGGACCAAUUGCACGUGUCAAUUCAUGCCAAUAGCUGUAAAUCAAAAGAAAAAAAGAAAAAAUAGACUCACCAGCUGCAAAUACUCCAGGAAUAAAGGUGCAAGCAUGGCACUGGGCAUGAUUUAUUUAGUACAACGAUUGGGUGAGAGGGUUUAAUUUUCAUAUUUCUUUCAGACAAACAAAUGGAGAUUACAUGGUGAUGUACGUUUAUGACAAACCCUUAUUUUCUGUAAAGUGGUAGUGCAGAUGACCAAUGUGGUGUGAAUUCCACUUCUGCAGAUAUCUUGUUGAUGGCACUAUUUUCUGUCACUAUAAAUACAUCGUUGUAUACUAUUGUUACACAUGAUUUCAUAGUUUGCCAAGUAUCACAGAAUU